rnacentral:lncRNA from 1 species
CCUGCAGAUCACCUACCACGGAGCUUUCAAGCAGAAGCCAGCAGGCCCCAGCCUGGACCCCGACACAGCAGCCCGGAGGUCAGCUGCGGAACGGAAGCCUGCAUAUCAUCGAUGACUUUGAAUCUAAAUUCACGUUUCAUACUGUGGAAGACUUUCCUCCUCCGGACGAGUAUAAGCCGUGCCAGAAGAUUUACCCCAGCAAAAUCCCCAGAAGCCGCACACCUGGUCCCUGGCUCCACGCCGAGGCGGCAGGGCAGAGCUCGGAUGACCUCAAAGGCAGAAAUUCUCAGUUAUCUCUAAAGACACUCCGGUGAGAAGACAGAUGAAGCCAAUGUCCUGUGAGCCACCUGGGGGUCCAUAUCGCCAGAUGGGCAUCCCCAGGAGAACGUGUCUGGCCUCGCCAUACUUAAGUUGGAAUUCAGUUGACAAAUAAGCUCUGAGUGGAGCAUUUAUUUAUUGUAAAUACGUGGUUUGCACAGGCUUUAACUCAGUAUGACAGUCGACUUUUAUUUGCUUAAUUUAAAAAACCACACACCUAUUAUGUUUCGCCAUUUUUUGAAGAUACAUCUUGGCGUUCAUCCGUCAGUACAGACAGCGCCCUGUCCCCACCCCAUGGUGUCCAUUCCAUGACUGUACAUAAUGCGUGUGGGCUGGCCCUUCCUAGAUUCUGAACUGUUUUUAGAAGAUUCCUUUGUCUGCAAGUAGUCCCAAAGUUAUAGUACCCACAGCCGCUUAUUUGCAUGAUUGUGUAUUCUCAUCACACACACUGCAAAAUCAAACCAAAUAAUGCCUUAUAAACGAAGCAGCUCAGAGAGAGUAGUGUGUCCCCACACCCAGACAAUGCCACACAGCCUCCAGUGAACGAGAUGUCAUGUCUCGCUUCCGUUUCGCAGUACAGGGAUUUUUUUUUUUCGGCCUAAUGUAAAUAUGAUGCAAAAGAAAGGCAAGAGUGGGCUUGGGCCCUCCGAUGCCAACCA